UCCUCAAAUAUUUUAGCUUGGGAGAUUCAGGCGGUGCAGAGGGAACUAGAACCCCAUUCUGUUCACACCAAGAUGCUAUCAGACCCUUAAUGCAGUAAUUGGGUGUCAUCGAGAGGUGGGGCAACUGUUUGCGGGUUUUCGGGCAGGAUCAUACAUGAGCUGCAAGGAGAUCGGGCACCUCAAUUCCUCAGCUGGCAAUGGCAUGCUCCCUGAUAACCCUUUAAUCUGUUUCAAAUUGAAGGAACCAACCCUUGGAAGUUGUCUCUCAAGUGCCUGACAAUUUCCAUGGAGAUCAACCGAGCUAGACAGUGAACGAUGGAGACCGAUCGAGCUGGACAGUGAGUUGGAGGAACAAGAAGGGCUUGAGCACUGGGAGUUGGUGCUAUCUGUUAUUUCACUCUUAAAUAUGUUCUGGUAUUUCCUCAUGAGGUGAAGUAGGUAGGCCGCAAUUGAUUCCUUUUUCAAGUCCUCCUCUGCAUGGGCUCUCUCAAGCAGCUUCCUAAGUGCUCUUCUUUCACUAAGAGCUGCUGUAGAUGAUGCAAUACCGGCCCGGAAAGCAGUUUGACGGAAAAAUUCAAGUUCAUUCUCAUCUAGGAAUCCAUUGAGUUUUGAUUCAUUCUGGAUUAGAUGAUUCACUUCGUCACCGAUUUGCUUUUCAGACUGGUCCAAAGCAAAAACAACUUUAUCCAGCUCUUGUGCAAUCUGAGUGAUCUGCAAUUCCAUGAGAAAAGAAUAUCCAAGUUAAAUCAAGAUGAAACAUUUAAUGGCUGUAGCAUGCACCAGUAAACUCUUCAUCAAUAAGGAGACCAUAUUGAAGGUAUUAAGGUUCUGAAAAACACUGAAAUAUGCUGAGACUAUGGUACUUUUUGGAUAUAGAGGAAUACUACCUCCGUUCCAAAAAACAAGUCAUCCUAGGAAUUUUAGGACAAAUUAACAAGAAGGUUAAAUGA